rnacentral:rRNA from 1 species
AUUGAACGCUGGCGGCAUGCUUUACACAUGCAAGUCGAACGGUAACAGGUUAAGCUGACGAGUGGCGAACGGGUGAGUAAUGCAUCGGAACGUGCCCGAUCGUGGGGGAUAACGCAGCGAAAGCUGCGCUAAUACCGCAUACGAUCUGAGGAUGAAAGCGGGGGACCGUAAGGCCUCGCGCGAUCGGAGCGGCCGAUGUCAGAUUAGGUAGUUGGUGGGGGUAAAGGCUCACCAAGCCAACGAUCUGUAGCUGGUCUGAGAGGACGACCAGCCACACUGGGACUGAGACACGGCCCAGACUCCUACGGGAGGCAGCAGUGGGGAAUUUUGGACAAUGGGGGAAACCCUGAUCCAGCAAUGCCGCGUGAGUGAAGAAGGCCUUCGGGUUGUAAAGCUCUUUGUCAGGGAAGAAACACCGGCUCUAACACAGUCCGGGAAUGACGGUACCUGAAGAAUAAGCACCGGCUAACUACGUG